CCGGCCUUAGCUCAGUUGGUAGUAGCGGCAGACUGUAGUGGCAUAUGCCUGGGACAUCUGUAGGUCCCUGGUUCGACUCCGGGAGGCCGGA